GUGGGACGAGCCGCUGCUGGAAGCAGGAGGAGAGCCCUCCCUGUGCGGCAGCGGCAGCGGCUCCUCUUCGCCCCACGAGGGGCUGGACACCUUGCUGGGCGGGGACAUAGUGCUCAGGCUGGGGCUGACCACGCUAAUUAAGCGGGGACGAAAUUCCGGCUUCCGCACUCCCUGACGCGGGCGCAUGUUUGUGGGCAGCCCCGGAGCGCUCGACCCCGGAGCAGCUGUUGAGCGUCUGUCUCCCAGGGCAACCUCGGAACCUUUCAGGGUUUAAAGCCUCAGGACCCUGCGCCAAGCUUCUUUCUGCCAAGCUUCUUUCUGCCUUUGCUCUCUAGGUCUCUGAGCCCCUCUUAGCCAGCAGAGAAGCAACCUCCCUUUCCCUGGAGCCGGACCUUCUGGCUUUUUAAGGAGGAUACCCAUAAUGUCAUUUGGCACUGAGGGAGUUGUGGAAUUUGAUUUUUAUUAGAAAUAUGAUUAUUGGAAAUUCCAGUAAAACUCUGCUUACUAUAUUAGA